rnacentral:piRNA from 1 species
UNCUAUUCGCCAGUGCGGACUGGAGCCAUC